rnacentral:lncRNA from 1 species
UGAUAAUAAUAAUUUGUCUUCCUUAAUACUGUCUCGUUUUGUCUAAAAAAUGAAACAAAGAACCCAACACAAAUUGAGAGAGAACUGAAGUGCUUAAUAAAAACAAUUACACUACAAUUUGCAGAAGAGCAGAUCAGCCAAAAAUGAAAUCCCCUACAACCUUUAACAGUUUUACCUGAUACAUGCUUACUUUCUAGUGUGUAAAAAGAAUUCUCUUCCCCCUCAUAAAUGUCGAAAAUUUCUACUUCUAACACUAUGGUAAUGCAAUGAUGGUUCUAAGAAGCGAAAAUGAGCGGUC